rnacentral:rRNA from 1 species
UGAGGAAUAUUGGUCAAUGGACGGAAGUCUGAACCAGCCAUGCCGCGUGAAGGAUGAAGGCGUUCUGCGUUGUAAACUUCUUUUAUCUGGGAAGAAACCACAGAUUUCUAUUUGUGUUGACGGUACCAGAGGAAUAAGCACCGGCUAACUCCGUGCCAGCAGCCGCGGUAAUACGGAGGGUGCGAGCGUUAUCCGGAUUUACUGGGUUUAAAGGGUGCGUAGGCGGGCUAUUAAGUCAGAGGUGAAAUCUCCGGGCUCAACCUGGAAACUGCCUUUGAUACUAUUAGCCUUGAAUUAUGUUGAGGUUGGCGGAAUAUAACAUGUAGCGGUGAAAUGCUUAGAUAUGCUAUGGAACACCGAUUGCGAAGGCAGCUGGCUAAACAUAUAUUGACGCUGAUGCACGAAAGCGUGGGUAGCGAACA